GCGCGGAUCAGGAGCUUGCUCCUGUGACGCGAGUGGCGGACGGGUGAGUAACACGUAGGCAACCUGCCCAUCAGACCGGGAUAACCACGGGAAACCGUGGCUAAUACCGGAUAAUCCUUUUCCACACAGGUGGGGAAGUUGAAAGGCGGCUUCGGCUGUCACUGGUGGAUGGGCCUGCGGCGCAUUAGCUUGUUGGUGGGGUAACGGCCCACCAAGGCGACGAUGCGUAGCCGACCUGAGAGGGUGAUCGGCCACACUGGGACUGAGACACGGCCCAGACUCCUACGGGAGGCAGCAGUAGGGAAUCUUCCGCAAUGGACGAAAGUCUGACGGAGCAACGCCGCGUGAGUGAAGAAGGGUUUCGGCUCGUAAAACUCUGUUGUCAGGGAAGAACGCCGACGGGAGUAACUGCCCGUCGGGUGACGGUACCUGACCAGAAAGCCACGGCUAACUACGUGCCAGCAGCCGCGGUAAUACGUAGGUGGCAAGCGUUAUCCGGAAUUAUUGGGCGUAAAGCGCGCGUAGGCGGUUCGUUAAGUCUGAUGUGAAAGCCCCCGGCUCAACCGGGGAGGGUCAUUGGAAACUGGCGGACUUGAGUGCAGAAGAGGAGAGUGGAAUUCCAUGUGUAGCGGUGAAAUGCGCAGAGAUAUGGAGGAACACCAGUGGCGAAGGCGGCUCUCUGGUCUGCAACUGACGCUGAGGUGCGAAAGCGUGGGGAUCAAACAGGAUUAGAUACCCUGGUAGUCCACGCCGUAAACGAUGAGUGCUAAGUGUUAGGGGGUUUCCGCCCCUUAGUGCUGCAGCUAACGCAUUAAGCACUCCGCC
rnacentral:rRNA from 1 species